GAUGAACGCUAGCUACGGGCUUAACACAUGCAAGUCGAGGGGAAACGAUGAGAGAGCUUGCUCUCUUAGUCGUCGACCGGCGCACGGGUGAGUAACGCGUAUCCAACCUGCCUCUGACCAAGGGAUAACCCGUCGAAAGUCGGACUAAUACCUUAUGCAGUCGUCGGAAGUCAUCUGAUGACGACGAAAGAUUUCAUCGGUGAGAGAUGGGGAUGCGUCUGAUUAGCUUGUUGGCGGGGUAACGGCCCACCAAGGCGACGAUCAGUAGGGGUUCUGAGAGGAAGGUCCCCCACAUUGGAACUGAGACACGGUCCAAACUCCUACGGGAGGCAGCAGUGAGGAAUAUUGGUCAAUGGGCGUAAGCCUGAACCAGCCAAGUAGCGUGCAGGAUGACGGCCCUAUGGGUUGUAAACUGCUUUUAUGCGGGGAUAAAGUGAGGGACGUGUCCUUCAUUGCAGGUACCGCAUGAAUAAGGACCGGCUAAUUCCGUG
rnacentral:rRNA from 1 species